GCCCUUGUAGCUCAAUCGGCAGAGCAACUGACUCUUAAUCAGUAGGUUCUAGGUUCGAUUCCUAGCGGGGGCA
rnacentral:tRNA from 3 species